GCCUAAAGCGUCCGUAGCCGGCUAUGUUAGUUUUCGGUUAAAUCCAUGUGCUUAACACAUGGGCUGUCGAAAAUACUGCAUAGCUAGGGAGUGGGAGAGGUAGACGGUACUCGGGAGGAAGUGGUAAAAUGCUUUGAUCUCUCGAUGACCACCAGUGGCGAAGGCGGUCUACCAGAACACGUCCGACGGUGAGGGAUGAAAGCUGGGGGAGCAAACCGGAUUAGAUACCCGGGUAGUCCCAGCUGUAAACGAUGCAGACUCGGUGAUGCAUUGGCUUGUGGCCAGUGCAGUGCCGCAGGGAAGCCGUUAAGUUUGCCGCCUGGGAAGUACGUACGCAAGUAUGAAACUUAAAGGAAUUGGCGGGGGAGCACCACAAGGGGUGAAGCCUGCGGUUUAAUUGGAGUCAACGCCAGAAAUCUUACCCGGAGAGACAGCAGAAUGAAGGUCAAGCUGAAGACUUUACCAGACAAGCUGAGAGGUGGUGCAUGGCCGUCGCCAGCUCGUGCCGUGAGAUGUCCUGUUAAGUCAGGUAACGAGCGAGACCCUUGCCUCUAGUUGCCACCAUUGCUCUCUGGAGCAGUGGGGCGAAUUAGCGGGACCGCCGCAGUUAAUGCGGAGGAAGGAAAGGGCUACGGCAGGUCAGUAUGCCCCGAA
rnacentral:rRNA from 1 species